rnacentral:rRNA from 1 species
UACGAAGGGGGCUAGCGUUGUUCGGAAUUACUGGGCGUAAAGCGCACGUAGGCGGACUAUUAAGUCAGGGGUGAAAUCCCGGGGCUCAACCCCGGAACUGCCUUUGAUACUGGUAGUCUCGAGUCCGGAAGAGGUGAGUGGAAUUCCGAGUGUAGAGGUGAAAUUCGUAAAUAUUCGGAGGAACACCAGUGGCGAAGGCGGCUCACUGGUCCGGUACUGACGCUGAGGUGCGAAAGCGUGGGGAGCAAACAGG